rnacentral:rRNA from 1 species
AAAAACAUGUCUGUAUGAGAGAUUUAUAAAGUCUGACCUGCCCAUUGGAAAACUAAAAGGCCGCGGUAUUAUGACCGUGCAAAGGUAGCAUAAUCAUUAGUUUUUUAAUUGAAGGCUAGAAUGAAUGGUUGGACAAGAAAUAAUCUGUCUUAAACUAAGAUAUUGAAUUUAACUUUUGAGUGAAAAGGCUUAAAUGAUCUAAAGGGACGAUAAGACCCUAUAAAACUUUAUAUUUUAAAGUAGAAAAUAAUUUUAUUUAAAUGUUAUUAUUUUAAAAUAUUUUGUUGGGGUGACAAGGAUAUAAUAAUGGGUAACUGUCUUUUGUUUUUACAAUAAUAUUUGAUUUGUUGAUCCUAAAAGGGAUUAAAGAUUAAGUUACUUUAGGGAUAACAGCGUAAUUUUUUUUGAGAGUUCUUAUCGACAAAAAAGUUUGCGACCUCGAUGUUGAAUUAAAAAUUCUUUAUAGAGUAGAGACUAUAAAAGAAGGUCUGUUCGACCUUUAAAAUUUUACAUGAU